rnacentral:lncRNA from 1 species
AAAAUAGGAAACACGCGUAUCCACAAGAGGAGUUCCAUGCCUGAAGAGUGGGAAAGGACAAAGUCGGCGACAGCAGGCUUAUGGUGUCCUUUGGUAAUGGAAGGCCCAGAAAACAAAGAGACUAUGAGAGGCAACUACGAUUUUGGCAACUCCUGGUAACGGCUGAUUAAACUGACAGCAUCCUGACUCCAGCAGAGUAAAACUC